AUUAUGUCAACUACUAUGCAAGUUGUGAAGGAAGCUUUGAGGACACGAGGGUUGAAGGAUGACACAACAUGCAUAGUAGUUGACAUAAUACCUCCCGAUAACACUGUACAGCCUGCAACUCCGCCCAAGAAGUAUAACAAGCUUCGAUCUCUUUUUUUCAGAAGAAACUCGCAAAAAUCUGCUGGUAAACUAUCGAAAAAGCUGUCAGCUGUAGGCAUUGUAGAAGAACUGUUUGAAGAAGGCUCAGCAAUGCUUGCUGAAAGAUUGGGGAGUGAGGAUUCAAAUGGUCCAUCAAUGUCCGGUCUCUUCAUUUGUGCUGUUUGCCAGGUCGACCUUGCUGCAAGUGAAGGCAUAUCAGUACAUGCUGGUUCAAUUUUCUCGACAAGCUCAAAGCCUUGGCAAGGUCCAUUUCUAUGUGCUGACUGUUGCAAUAAGAAGGAUGCCAUGGAAG
rnacentral:misc_RNA from 1 species